rnacentral:rRNA from 1 species
UACGUAGGUGACUAGCGUUGUUCGGAUUUACUGGGCGUAAAGGGCGCGUAGGCGGCGCAACAAGUCACUUGUGAAAUCUCCGGGCUUAACCCGGAGCGGCCAAGUGAUACUGUCGUGCUAGAGUGCGGAAGGGGCUACUGGAAUUCUCGGUGUAGCGGUGAAAUGCGUAGAUAUCGAGAGGAACACCUGCGGCGAAGGCGGGUAGCUGGGCCGACACUGACGCUGAGGCGCGAAAGCUAGGGGAGCGAACGGGAUUAGAAACCCUGGUAGU